UUACUUUGGCAGCAGAUAUAGUAAAAUUCGAGCAAUACAGAAAAGAUUUUCAUUGCACCUACAUAAGGAUGAAGCCCAAAUUUGUGAAGUGCUCCAUAUUCAA